AACUCUCUUUACUCCAUAACCAAAUGAAUUUCCGAGUCUAAGUCUCAGUUCGAAUUUUCUCUCUCUAAAAUAAUCCCAUUACGCGGCCAAUUACGCCAUCACUGUUGACUGGAGUCCGCCACUUUUGGCCGGAAAUGAGCCGUCCGGUAACGCCUUCCGGCCGAAGUGUGAAAUCCAGCGGCCGGACCACCCCUAUUCAUAGCCGUGAGUCCUCGUUGAAUCCCGGCUAUGCACCGUCCCCCAUUUGCCGGAAUUCGGAUUCCAGUGGGCGGAAUCCGAUGAAAAUUGUGGCCGGGAUUUUUUCCGGUGCUGUGAGCUCAUGUUUUUCCGGGAGCACGAGCAGUAAAUCGUCCUCAGUUGAUGAGAGUUUUGAUGAUCUUAAAGCGCCUUCUGUUUCAUCAAGGACUUCAGGUGUUAGUGAAAGAUCACGAUCAAGAAAGGCAAUAUACUCUAAUUCAUAUAAUUCUACUGAGACACAACCUGGAAGCAUGAAAUUUAGCAUCGAUGAGAUAUACAAAGCCACUAGAAACUUCUCGCCGUCUUUCAAGAUAGGACAGGGUGGGUUCGGGACUGUUUACAAAGGAAGGAUCCAUGAUGGAACUGUUGUUGCCAUUAAGCGUGCAAAGAAGAAUAUGCAUGAUAAGCAUUUAACUGUAGAGUUUCAGAGUGAGAUCCGGACUCUUGCCUGUGUUGAGCACUUGAAUCUGGUUAAGUUUCUAGGAUAUUUGGAGCAUGGAGAUGAAAGGAUUGUGGUUGUGGAGUACGUCCCCAAUGGAACACUUCGAGAGCAUUUGGAUGGUGUCAAUGGUGAUACGUUAGAUCUUGCUGCUCGGUUGGAUAUUGCCAUUGAUGUGGCUCAUGCAGUCACAUAUCUUCAUAUGUAUACUGAUCGUCCUAUCAUCCACAGAGACAUUAAAUCUUCAAACAUUCUCCUCACUGAAAAUUUUCGAGCAAAAGUUGCUGACUUUGGAUUUGCUCGCUUAGCUUCAAAUGAUGAUGGUGCUACCCAUGUCUCCACACAAGUCAAAGGAACUGCAGGUUACUUAGAUCCUGAAUAUCUCAAGACUUAUCAGCUCACAGAGAAGAGUGAUGUCUUCUCGUUUGGUGUAUUGUUGGUAGAGAUAAUUACGGGAAGGCGCCCGAUUGAAGCCAAAAGGGAACUCAAAGAACGGGUUACGACAAGAUGGGCAAUGAGGAAAUUCACAGAAGGUGAAGCUAUUUUAACAUUGGACCCAAGAUUACGGCGAACUCCAGCAGCUAAUUUGGCACUAGAAAAGAUUCUUGAGCUUGCUUUUCAAUGCUUAGCUCCAAGUAGACAUUCACGACCAAGCAUGAGGAGGUGUGCUGAGAUCUUAUGGAGCAUUCGCAAGGAUUACAGAGAGCUUAUUGCUUCAGAUCCACGUUCUUUGUCCUCUCGUUCAAAGAGUCCUUGACAGAUGAUGGAAAACAAUAACAAAGAUUGAACGUCCUGAAAGGAUUACAGAAGAUAUCAGGCUUCUAAUGUAGCUUCUGAAUUUCGAAGUUUGAAGCCUCCAGAUUCAGGGCCACUUGCUGUUUUCAUAUGGAGGGAUUUCAAGAAAGCAUGACUAAUGACCACUCCUAAUAUUAACAGUAUUUCUAGAGGGAAGAUGGCAUUGCAAUUCCAAGAUGAAAUUAUCAAUUGCAGCAUCUAUAAGGAAUGGUUCCUGUCAAAUUCACAUUUGAUACUAUCUCGUGGGAAUUGUGGAAUAUCACUCAGUACUUGUGGAGAGAGACAGGUAACAGAGACCAAAAUUUUAGGAAAAGUUUGUAUCCAAAUGACCAAGUUUUUUGUUCUGAAAAAGCUCGACACAUCAGAGCGCAACGAUGUUUACUAAGAUAGACCAAUAAAAAACGGCAGAAAACAUGGCCAAACGAACUCAAGCAAGAUCUCUAGAAACUGAAUUGUUGGAUGAAUUGAGACCCUUCCAUCAAAUCUACAUUAUCUGCAGGGCAAAGAUUUGCUGGAUUGAAGUAGGAAGGAUUGAAGUUCUAAGAGUGUCUUCCUUUUGUACCAUGGAUACCUCACCAGACUCAACUUCAGGUGGUAAACAAAUUGAUGCGAAAAGGAAAGAGAGAUUCCAACAUGGUUUCCUUA